AGUGAACGCUGGCGGUAGGCCUAACACAUGCAAGUCGAACGGCAGCACAGUAAGAGCUUGCUCUUACGGGUGGCGAGUGGCGGACGGGUGAGGAAUACAUCGGAAUCUACUUUUUCGUGGGGGAUAACGUAGGGAAACUUACGCUAAUACCGCAUACGACCUACGGGUGAAAGCAGGGGAUCUUCGGACCUUGCGCGAUUGAAUGAGCCGAUGUCGGAUUAGCUAGUUGGCGGGGUAAAGGCCCACCAAGGCGACGAUCCGUAGCUGGUCUGAGAGGAUGAUCAGCCACACUGGAACUGAGACACGGUCCAGACUCCUACGGGAGGCAGCAGUGGGGAAUAUUGGACAAUGGGCGCAAGCCUGAUCCAGCCAUACCGCGUGGGUGAAGAAGGCCUUCGGGUUGUAAAGCCCUUUUGUUGGGAAAGAAAAGCAGCAGGUUAAUACCCCGCUGUUCUGACGGUACGCAAAGAAUAAGCACCGGCUAACUUCGUG
rnacentral:rRNA from 1 species